rnacentral:rRNA from 1 species
CCUACGGGUGGCAGCAGUGAGGAAUAUUGGUCAAUGGACGAGAGUCUGAACCAGCCAAGUCGCGUGAAGGAUGACUGCCCUAUGGGUUGUAAACUUCUUUUAUAUGGGAAUAAAAUGUUCCCCGUGUGGGAUUUUGUAUGUACCAUAUGAAUAAGGAUCGGCCAACUCCGUGCCAGCAGCCGCGGUAAUACGGAGGAUCCGAGCGUUUUCCGGAUUUAUUGGGUUUAAAGGGAGCGGAAGUGGGGUGUUAAGGCAGUUGUGAAAGUUGGUGGCUCAAACGUAAAAUUGCAGUUGAAACUGGCAGUCGUGAGUACGGUAGAGGUAGGCGGAAUGCGUGGUGUAGCGGUGAAAUGCUGAGAUAUCACGAAGAACUCCGAUUGCGAAGGCAGCUCACCGGACUGCAACUGACACUGAGGCUCGAAAGUGUGGGUAUCAAACAGGAUUAGAUACCCGAGUAGUC